rnacentral:rRNA from 1 species
AUUGAACGCUGGCGGCAUGCCUUACACAUGCAAGUCGAACGGUAACAGGUCUUCGGAUGCUGACGAGUGGCGAACGGGUGAGUAAUACAUCGGAACGUGCCUAGUAGUGGGGGAUAACUACUCGAAAGAGUGGCUAAUACCGCAUGAGAUCUACGGAUGAAAGCAGGGGAUGGCAAGACCUUGUGCUACUAGAGCGGCCGAUGGCAGAUUAGGGAGUUGGUGGGAUAAAAGCUGACCAAGCCGACGAUAUGUAGCUGGUCUGAGAGGACGAUCAGCCACACUGGGACUGAGACACGGCCCAGACCCCUACGGGAGGCAGCAGUGGGGAAUUUUGGAAAAUGGGCGAAAGCCUGAUCCAGCAAUGCCGCGUGCAGGAUGAAGGCCUUCGGGUUGUAAACUGCUUUUGUACGGAACGAAAAGCCCCGGGUUAAUACCCUGGGGUCAUGACGGUACCGUAAGAAUAAGCACCGGCUAACUACGUGCCAGCCGCCGCCGUAA